UUGGCAAACAGGAUGAUGAAAGUGACGGCGUAACCAAUCAGAGCCCACUGCAUCCAGGCCGGGAACGGGCAGCCCGUGUAGAGGGAAUGAGCCGCGUGACUGAUGGUGACGUGAAACUGGAUCUAAACGAAAAAAAUGGAUACUUCUGAUCUUUUCGACAAAGGUUUCUGGUCUAAAACAGUCUCUCUUUCCAGGUGCUAUAUUUAAUUGAACUAAAAGGUUGAAACCUCAAAUGGUUGAUCACCAUUUUGGCCUCUGUCCUCACAUCCCCAAGGAAACAAGCCUGCCAUUAAGGGCAUUGGUUCAUGCCAAGCCGACAGCAUGAAGAAACUGUAAAGUACGUCAGUGAAAGGAAUUCAUCAAGAGAUUCGGUGAACUG